UACGGAGGAGGCAAGCGUUAUCCGGAAUUAUUGGGCGUAAAGCGUCCGCAGGUGGCACCUCAAGUCUGCUGUCAAAGACCGGGGCUUAACCCCAGAAAGGCAGUGGAAACUGAAGUGCUAGAGUGCAGUAGGGGUAGAGGGAAUUCCCGGUGUAGCGGUGAAAUGCGUAGAGAUCGGGAAGAACAUCGGUGGCGAAAGCGCUCUGCUGGACUGCAACUGACACUCAGGGAGCGAAAGCUAGGGGAGCGAAUGGG
rnacentral:rRNA from 1 species